GGUCGAGUGGCCGAGAGAAGAGGCAAAAGUCCGCAAGACUUUCUACAGUAGUUCGAAUCUACUCUCGACCUC
rnacentral:tRNA from 2 species